GAUGAACGCUAGCGGCAGGCCUAACACAUGCAAGUCGAGGGGCAGCACAGGAAAGUAGUAAUACUUUUGGGUGGCGACCGGCGGACGGGUGCGUAACGCGUAUACAACCUGCCUUCUACUGGGGGAUAAUUCGGAGAAAUCUGGUCUAAUACCCCAUAACAUAUGGAUCGGCAUCGGUUCAUGUUGAAAUUUUCGGAGGUGACGGAUGGGCAUGCGUAGCAUUAGCUUGUUGGUGAGGUAACGGCUCACCAAGGCGACGAUGCUUAGGGGGACUGAGAGGUUUUCCCCCCACACUGGUACUGAGACACGGACCAGACUCCUACGGGAGGCAGCAGUGAGGAAUAUUGGUCAAUGGGCGCAAGCCUGAACCAGCCAUGCCGCGUGCAGGAUGACGGCUCUAUGAGUUGUAAACUGCUUUUGUACGAGGGUAAAGUGGGUUACGUGUAACCUUUUGAAAGUAUCGUACGAAUAAGGAUCGGCUAACUCCGUGCCAGCCGCCGCAGUAA
rnacentral:rRNA from 1 species